GCCCAGACGACGGCGCCUCAAGCUGUGCCGCCACUGUCGCCUUGACCAAACCCAGACGCCGUCUCUUCAAGCUGCGCUGUUGCGCUGUGUCGGCGCCGAGGACAGGUGACGACGAGCCCUACUCACGCCAUCCCCGUCGCUACUUCCCCUCUCGAAACCUAACCGCCGCCGUCCACCACGUCGCCGCCGUCGUCAGGCGCCCCGCCGCUGUCCGGUGACGCCCCCAGUCCCUCCACCUGCGCCGCAAAUGGAUGGAGAAGCCAGCGAGCCCGCGUCGGGUCGAGCCGGGUUGGGCGUGGUUCGCGAAACCGGGUAGGGUUUCGCGAGACCUAGGCGGCCGGAAACCGGGUCGGGUGCACCUCACCCGGGUAGGGUUUCGGCCAGCUUAGGCCAUUCGCGCGUGGGCCGGGCCUUCUUUUAGAAAAUAGAUCUAUUUGGGCCGGGCUUGUAAAAAAAAAAAAAAAAGAUGAAAAAAAUCCGAGUCGGGCCCGCGUUGCGGGUCGCCGACCCGGGUCGGACCCAACCCGCG
rnacentral:lncRNA from 1 species